GAUGAACGCUCGCUGUGUGCCUAAUACAUGCAUGUUGAACGGGGAUGUAGCAAUACAUUUCAGUAGCGAAUGGGUUGAGUAACACGUACCUAACCUACCUUUUAAGACUGGGAUAACUAUUGGAAACAAUAGCUAAUACCGGAUAUAGUUAUUUAUCGCAUGAUGAGUAAUAGAAAGGAGCUUCACAGCUUCACUUAAAAAUGGGGGUGCGGAACAUUAGUUAGUUGGUAGGGUAAUGGCCUACCAAGACGAUGAUGUUUAGCCGGGCCGAGAGGCUGUACGGCCACACUGGGACUGAGAUACGGCCCAGACUCCUACGGGAGGCAGCAGUAAGGAAUUUUCCACAAUGAGCGAAAGCUUGAUGGAGCGACACAGCGUGCAGGAUGAAGUUCUUCGGAAUGUAAACUGCUGUUAUAAGGGAAGAAAAAAUAGAAUAGGAAAUGAUUUUAUCUUGACGGUACCUUAUUAGAAAGCGACGGCAAACUAUGUGCCAGCAGCCGCGGUAAUACAUAGGUCGCAAGCGUUAUCCGGAAUUAUUGGGCGUAAAGCGUCCGUAGGUUUUUUGCUAAGUCUGGAGUUAAAUGCUGAAGCUCAACUUCAGUCCGCUUUGGAUACUGGCAAAAUAGAAUUAUAAAGAGGUUAGCGGAAUUCCUAGUGAAGCGGUGGAAUGCGUAGAUAUUAGGAAGAACACCAAUAGGCGAAGGCAGCUAACUGGUUAUAUAUUGACACUAAGGGACGAAAGCGUGGGGAGCAAACAGG
rnacentral:rRNA from 1 species